rnacentral:rRNA from 1 species
CCUACGGGAGGCAGCAGUGGGGAAUAUUGGGCAAUGGGCGCAAGCCUGACCCAGCAACGCCGCGUGAAGGAAGAAGGCUUUCGGGUUGUAAACUUCUUUUGUCAGGGACGAAGCAAGUGACGGUACCUGACGAAUAAGCCACGGCUAACUACGUGCCAGCAGCCGCGGUAAGACGUAGGUGGCAAGCGUUAUCCGGAUUUACUGGGUGUAAAGGGCGUGUAGGCGGGACUGCAAGUCAGAUGUGAAAACCACGGGCUCAACCUGUGGCCUGCAGUUGAAACUGUAGUUCUUGAGUACUGGAGAGGCAGACGGAAUUCCUAGUGUAGCGGUGAAAUGCGUAGAUAUUAGGAGGAACACCAGUGGCGAAGGCGGUCUGCUGGACAGCAACUGACGCUGAGGCGCGAAAGCGUGGGGAGCAAACAGGAUUAGAUACCCUAGGUC